CCUACGGGUGGCAGCAGUGGGGAAUAUUGCACAAUGGGGGAAACCCUGAUGCAGCGACGCCGCGUGAGUGAAGAAGUAUUUCGGUAUGUAAAGCUCUAUCAGCAGGGAAGAUAAUGACGGUACCUGACUAAGAAGCCCCGGCUAACUACGUGCCAGCAGCCGCGGUAAUACGUAGGGGGCAAGCGUUAUCCGGAUUUACUGGGUGUAAAGGGAGCGUAGGUGGCAGGGCAAGUCAGAUGUGAAAGCCCGGGGCUCAACCCCGGGACUGCAUUUGAAACUGUCCAGCUGGAGUGCAGGAGAGGUAAGCGGAAUUCCUAGUGUAGCGGUGAAAUGCGUAGAUAUUAGGAGGAACACCAGUGGCGAAGGCCGCUUACUGGACUGUAACUGACACUGAGGCACGAAAGCGUGGGGAGCAAACAGGAUUAGAUACCCCUGUAGUC
rnacentral:rRNA from 1 species